UUUGUUUAGCUUUCCAGUCGCAUUACUCUUUCCCAGGGUUGCCCAGGUUUCUGAGGAUCAAGUCAAUUUCUUCUCUUUGCUUCCAUCAUCAUCUACUUCAUUUCCAUUUCUAGGAAUCUAAUCAGCCCACCAAUUUAUAAGUCGUAUUUUGAAUGUCGUAUGAAGUAUUUGUCCACAAAAUUUAGGAACUGGUUGGUAGGUGGAACAAAAAAACUUAAAUUCUUUUUGUUUUGCUGCUGGAAGUUAGGUAUCUCUCAGAGGGGGAAGCUGGACAGCAGACAAACAGGGCUUGCAGACAGAAUGCCACUGAAAAAGUCAUUUUCCCUGCUAGGCCCCGCUUCCUCAGCAACGACUAAAUAGUCGGCACCAUCCAGACAGUAGCUACUGGCCCCUGCAGCCAUUAAGUACUAGGAGCAUGGCCAGUCCAAAGUGAAAUGUGUUACGCACAAGAAUAGCAAAUGAUUCCUGCCCCUGGCCAUUCCCUCUAGCUUGAGACAUUCACCUCUCUCCCUUUUCAGUAACCAUCACCACAAGUAGUAAAGUCCCUGGCUAGACUCUGUGUACGCACAUGUUCUAACAGUACAAGACAGCUGUCACAGCCUUCCAAAGACACAGGUGGAACUCAGCCAGUCCAGUUCGAGACCAGCCUGGCCAACGUGGUAAAACCCCGUCUCUACUAAAAAUACAAAAAUCAGCCUGGCGUGGUGGCACAUGCCUGUAAUCCCAGCUACUCAGGGGGCUGAGGCAGGGGAAUCACUUGAACCCGGGAGGCAGGCAGAGGUUGCAGUGAGCGGAGAUCAUGCCAUUGCACUCCAGCCUGGGUGACAGAGCAAGACUCUGUCUCAAAAAAAAAAAAAAAAAAGAAAAUACGUGUAUUUUUUUAAUUAAACUUGUUUCC
rnacentral:lncRNA from 10 species